rnacentral:rRNA from 1 species
UACGAAGGGGGCUAGCGUUGUUCGGAAUUACUGGGCGUAAAGCGCGCGCAGGCGGCUAUCCAAGUCAGUGGUGAAAGCCCGGAGCUCAACUCCGGAACUGCCAUUGAAACUGUGAGACUGGAGUACGAGAGAGGUGAGUGGAAUUCCCAGUGUAGAGGUGAAAUUCGUAGAUAUUGGGAAGAACACCGGUGGCGAAGGCGGCUCACUGGCUCGUAACUGACGCUCAGGCGCGACAGCGUGGGGAUCAAACAGG